rnacentral:rRNA from 1 species
GAUGCAGCACGCCGCGUGGAGGAUGACACAUUUCGGUGCGUAAACUCCUUUUAUUAGGGAAGAUAAUGACGGUACCAAAUGAAUAAGCACCGGCUAACUCCGUGCCAGCAGCCGCGGUAAUAGAUCUGUG